rnacentral:rRNA from 1 species
UACGUAGGGGUGCAAGCGUUUGUCCGGGAAUUAUUUGGGGCGUAAAGAGCUCGUAGGCGGGUCUGUCGCGUCUGCUGUGAAACUCAGGGGCUUAACCCUGAGCUUGCAGUGGGGUACGGGGCAGACUAGAGUGCGGGUAGGGGGAGACUGGGAAUUCCUGGGUGUAGCGGGUGGAAAUGCGCAGAUAUCAGGGAGGGAAC